UGUGGGAGCGGGCUUGCUCGCGAAUGCGGAGUGUCAGUUACUGCAUCUCUCUGAUAGACCGCUUUCGCGAGCAAGCCCGCUCCCACA
rnacentral:misc_RNA from 1 species